rnacentral:rRNA from 1 species
CUUCUCGCUGACGAGCGGCGGACGGGUGAGUAAUACUUAGGAAUCUGCCCAGUAGUGGGGGAUAGCACGGGGAAACUCGUAUUAAUACCGCAUACACCCUACGGGGAAAAGGGGGCGCUUGCGCUCUCGCUAUUGGAUGAGCCUAAGUCGGAUUAGCUAGUUGGUGGGGUAAAGGCCUACCAAGGCGACGAUCUGUAGCUGGUCUGAGAGGAUGAUCAGCCACACCGGGACUGAGACACGGCCCGGACUCCUACGGGAGGCAGCAGUGGGGAAUAUUGGACAAUGGGGGCAACCCUGAUCCAGCCAUGCCGCGUGUGUGAAGAAGGCCUUUUGGUUGUAAAGCACUUUAAGCAGUGAAGAAGACUCUAUGGUUAAUACCCAUAGACGAUGACAUUAGCUGCAGAAUAAGCACCGGCUAACUCUGUGCCAGCAGCCGCGGUAAUACAGAGGGUGCAAGCGUUAAUCGGAAUUACUGGGCGUAAAGCGAGCGUAGGUGGCUUAAUAAGUCAGAUGUGAAAUCCCCGGGCUUAACCUGGGAACUGCAUCUGAUACUGUUGGGCUAGAGUAGGUGAGAGGGAGGUAGAAUCUCAGGUGUAGCGG